GCGAAGCCCGGGUGGGUUAGUUAUGCACAUGCAGGAGCGAGGGUGCUGAGUCAGCAGCUGGCUCAGCAUAGCCCGCUCGUCAGCUCUCCCCGGGCACAUUAAUGGGGAGCGGAGUGAAAGGCACGGAGUUAGCCGAGGGUGCCAAUGAACUGAGUAGAGAGACAGCUAAAGGGCUAGCUGGGUGGAAAAGACUCCCCCUGUCCCCCCAGCUGCUAAUACUAUAAGCAGAGGGGAAGGAAAGGCUGGGGAGGAGAGUAGAGAGUCUGAAGGGAGGUAGGACUAGCAGCUAAUAAUAAAACUGGACCCUUUCCCAGAAGCAAGUAGGGGGAAGCUAGUCAAUAUCGUGUGCAAGUAAUACUCUAGGCUCCCUGGCACAGUGGUGGGUGGCUAGAACGCCAGGAGUUGUGGUGAUCAGGCUAGAAAAGACGCCCAGGGCCUGGGAUUCCAUGACAGCACAUCUCAUGGCUGCAGGAAUGCAGAAGAGAAACCCACAAGGUCUGGGGCCUGUCUACAGCACUCCCUUAAUUCCCAGCAGAAAGCCCUGUUGUUUGGGAUGGUGUGUGUGUGUGAGAGAGAAAGAGACUGUCACCUUAAAUGCAAACCUCUGAAUUUAAACAUCACUGAGUUUGACAAAGAACAUGGGAAUAGCCUUACUGGGUCAGACUAAUGAUUCAUCGAGCCCAGUAUCCUGUCCUCCAACAGUGGCCGAUGCCAGAUGCUUCAGAGGGAAUGAACAGGGCAUGGUUAAGGACUCAUCAUUAAAGCACCUCUUACCAGAUGAUCUACAUGGAUCCUAUCUGUGAUAUAAAAAUUACAAGAGGAACCUUGUGAAGGGUUCUGGGUUUGUCCUUCAACAGAACAGGCCAUGGGACCAGCCACCAGGCCCCUCCUGGGGCCUGCCUGGAUCUCUGGGGAUCAGCAGGAGGUCAGAGCCAUCUGCGUGGGGACCGGAUAUCCUUGUGCCAGAUCUGGAUCUCUUUCCUCUCCAGCAAAUUGAAUCCAGCAGAACUGCACUGACAAGGCUCCUACAGCUGGUGUCUGCUCUCCUGACCCAUUUUUAAGGAUAUGAUAAUAUGCUCUAAUUUAGAUCUCAGUGGUGACACCUUCUUGUAUCUCUUUAUUCAGUCUGAAGUAAAAUGCACCCAAAGAUACAAGCAUUUUUAAAGGUCACAUUAUAACUGGAACCUUAAUUUUAAAAUGUUUUGUAAAUUAUUAAUAGCUGUUAUAGGCAUGUUGCAGACAUGAGUAACGUAUUACAACCCCAUUGUUAGAAGAUGUCAUAGAUGAUUAUAAUAUGCAGUCUGUUGAUCUGUUGGACUUGCUGUUGGACUGAUCUGUAACAACUGAUUAAUCAUUUAUUAAAACAUCUACCAAUCCAGUAUUAACCGUUUACAACCUGUGUAGUAAUGGGACAUUUCUGUAUAUAAAGAGUGACAAGUUUUUACUAAUACCAUGGUACUUUGUCUGGCUGUGAUCAUGCAUCAUGGUGCUGUCAGUUGUGAGGGGAAAAUAAGGAGCCUAUUCUUUGGCUUUGGACAUGUGGUCACGCUGCUAGCAGUCCUGUUCCUUUUGUCCCACGAAUUAGCCGGCACAAACAUCCUUCUUAAUAUUCACAAGUCAACAAGUGCAAGGGGAGUUAUCCUGCCUGUGUGAGCGAUGCCUCAUCAUAGGACUACCAAUUGCUGGCUUCUGGAGAACAGGCAAUUCAGAAGUCCAUAUCCAGAAGUCCAAAGGCCUAGUUUGCUAACAUUCAUGUUUGUAAAUUAUCUGCAAUAAUAAGCAAGCAUAAGGAGAAAUGUCAUUUGCUAUAAUGUUGUAGUUCUAGCUGUCACCUCCUAAAUGUUUGUGUAAAGCUGAGGAGUACAUGCUGUACGACACACAGUCAAGGGAUGGCACUGCCGGCUCUUCUACAGCUGAACUGGCCUCAGGGGAGCUACCUUGGGUAAGGCGUCUGUAGCUGUUUGCUCAAUUUAAACCAUGCUCUCGAACUUGCUGCAAAGUGUGUACUGCAACAGGUGUUCUGAGCACACAACUGACAUCUACAGAGGGACUGAUUCGCUUUUCCACUAAAUGGCCCUUUACGACACUCAGGCAGUAUUAAGGAGUCUUAAAGUGUGGAUGUAAUUUACGUCCUCUGUAAUAAUACCUAGCUCUUACAUAGUUUUUCAUGAGUAAAUCCCAAAGCAUUUUACAAGGGAGGUCAGUACCAUUAUCCUAAUUUUUACAGCUAUGGCAACUGAUGCACAGAGAGGGGCAGUGACUUGUCUAAGGUCAUCCAGCAGGUCAGAGCUGGGAAUAGAAUACAAGUCUUGUGAGUCCCCAUCCAGUGUUCUAGCCACUAGGCAACGUUGCCAGAGCAGUGUAAAGGGGCCAAAGGUUUUGCUUUCCCUGCAAAAAAAAAAAAAAAAAAAAAAAAAGCAGCAUGGUUUUUGAAUAGAGCUCACUGUCUUGAUUUACAGUUGUGAAGGAGACACUGUACAGGUCCUCUUGGAGGAGACAUGGUACAGCUAGUCUUCACCUUGAUGUAGCUAGUUAAGGUCAACCCCAUUACUCCCUCCCCCCCCCCACA